UCCAGACUCCUACGGGAGGCAGCAGUGAGGAAUAUUGGUCAAUGGCCGAGAGGCUGAACCAGCCAAGUCGCGUGAGGGAAGAAUGUCCUAUGGAUUGUAAACCUCUUUUGUCAGGGAGCAAAGUCACCCACGUGUGGGUGUUGGAGAGUACCUGAAGAAAAAGCAUCGGCUAACUCCGUGCCAGCAGCCGCGGUAAUACGGAGGAUGCGAGCGUUAUCCGGAUUUAUUGGGUUUAAAGGGUGCGUAGGCGGGACCUUAAGUCAGCGGUAAAAUUGCGGUGCUCAACGCCGUAGAGCCGUUGAAACUGGGGCUCUUGAGUGAGCGAGAAGUAUGCGGAAUGCGUGGUGUAGCGGUGAAAUGCAUAGAUAUCACGCAGAACCCCGAUUGCGAAGGCAGCAUACCGGCGCUCAACUGACGCUGAGGCACGAAAGUGCGGGUAUCGAACAGGAUUAGAUACCCUUGUA
rnacentral:rRNA from 1 species